rnacentral:lncRNA from 1 species
AUGAUUUAUCCACAGAAACACUUCUUUGCCCCCCUGCUCCUAACGGGAAAUUUCUGCAGACAGAAAAUCCUUAAAUGUGAAAAGGCCAGGGGCUGGUGCAGGCUGAACAGAGGGAGAUGGAGAUCAAAUACAAAACCAGGGUGUAACAAGAUAAGAGAGGCAGCACGGCCUCAGCACAAGAUAUUGAGGAACCUGCUCACCCAGGACAUUUCCUCACUCGGUUUUCCUGCAGUGCUGCACCCAGACACCCAGCAGGGACUGCUGCAGAAAACCCAGAAGGACAAACCAGGGCUCCAAGGGCCAGAAGCAGCAGGAGAGGCCCCCUGCCUCCCCCUUUUCCAUGUUUUCCAGCUGCAGAGGAGGGGUCUGGCUCUCUCAGCUCCUGGGGCUUCCCACUGCACUCCCAGCAUGGGCAAAUUCCUGAUUUCUGCAGAGGAAAACAGUUUGUUGGGUGCCCUAAACCCCAUGCUGAGGAGCUGA